AUUGAACGCUGGCGGCAGGCCUAACACAUGCAAGUCGAGCGGAUGAAGGGAGCUUGCUCCUGGAUUCAGCGGCGGACGGGUGAGUAAUGCCUAGGAAUCUGCCUGGUAGUGGGGGAUGACGUCCGGAAACGGGCGCUAAUACCGCAUACGUCCUGAGGGAGAAAGUGGGGGAUCUUCGGACCUCACGCUAUCAGAUGAGCCUAGGUCGGAUUAGCUAGUCGGUGGGGUAAAGGCCUACCAAGGCGACGAUCCGUAACUGGUCUGAGAGGAUGAUCAGUCACACUGGAACUGAGACACGGUCCAGACUCCUACGGGAGGCAGCAGUGGGGAAUAUUGGACAAUGGGCGAAAGCCUGAUCCAGCCAUGCCGCGUGUGUGAAGAAGGUCUUCGGAUUGUAAAGCACUUUAAGUUGGGAGGAAGGGCAGUAAGUUAAUACCUUGCUGUUUUGACGUUACCAACAGAAUAAGCACCGGCUAACUUCGUG
rnacentral:rRNA from 1 species